GUAGUCCAUGCCGUAAACGUUGGGCACUAGGUGUGGGGGACAUUCCACGUUUUCCGCGCCGUAGCUAACGCAUUAAGUGCCCCGCCUGGGGAGUACGGCCGCAAGGCUAAAACUCAAAGGAAUUGACGGGGGCCCGCACAAGCGGCGGAGCAUGCGGAUUAAUUCGAUGCAACGCGAAGAACCUUACCAAGGCUUGACAUGAACCGGAAUGAUGCAGAGAUGUGUCAGCCACUUGUGGCCGGUUUACAGGUGGUGCAUGGUUGUCGUCAGCUCGUGUCGUGAGAUGUUGGGUUAAGUCCCGCAACGAGCGCAACCCUCGUUCCAUGUUGCCAGCGGGUUAUGCCGGGGACUCAUGGGAGACUGCCGGGGUCAACUCGGAGGAAGGUGGGGACGAACGUCAAAUCAUCAUGCCCCUUAUGUCUUGGGCUUCACGCAUGCUACAAUGGCCGGUACAAAGGGUUGCGAUACUGUGAGGUGGAGCUAAUCCCAAAAAGCCGGUCUCAGUUCGGAUUGAGGUCUGCAACUCGACCUCAUGAAGUUGGAGUCGCUAGUAAUCGCAGAUCAGCAACGCUGCGGUGA
rnacentral:rRNA from 1 species